GAUGAACGCUAGCGGCAGGCUUAACACAUGCAAGUCGAGGGGCAGCAUAAUGAAGUAGCAAUACGGAAUUGAUGGCGACCGGCGCACGGGUGCGUAACGCGUAUGCAACCUACCCAUAACAGGGGGAUAACACUGAGAAAUUGGUACUAAUACCCCAUAACAGUUUUCCGGCCGCGGAUGAGGAUGCGUAUGAUUAGGUAGUAGGCGGGGUAACGGCCCACCUAGCCUUCGAUCAUUAGGGGUUCUGAGAGGAAGGUCCCCCACACUGGAACUGAGACACGGUCCAGACUCCUACGGGAGGCAGCAGUGAGGAAUAUUGGUCAAUGGGCGAGAGCCUGAACCAGCCAAGUAGCGUGAAGGAAGACUGCCCUAUGGGUUGUAAACUUCUUUUGUUUGGGAAUAAAAUGAUACUACGUGUAGUAUUUUGCAUGUACCUUACGAUAAGCAUCGGCUAAUUCCGUG
rnacentral:rRNA from 1 species